rnacentral:rRNA from 1 species
CGGUCCCGGACUAACGUGGGGGAAAGAUUUAUCGGAGAGGGAUCAGCCCGCGUAAGAUUAGAUAGUUGGUGGGGUAAUGGCCUACCAAGUCUACGAUCUUUAGCAGGUUUUAGAGGAUGAUCAGCAACACUGGGACUGAGACACGGCCCAGACUCCUACGGGAGGCAGCAGUGGGGAAUCUUGGACAAUGGGCGCAAGCCUGAUCCAGCCAUGCCGCGUGAGUGAUGAAGGCCUUAGGGUCGUAAAGCUCUUUCGCCAGAGAUGAUAAUGACAGUAUCUGGUAAAGAAGUCCCGGCUAACUCCGUG